AACAGACCUGGAGGAUGUGAGGAGAGUCCAGAGGCUCACUCUCCACAGAAAUGUGUCUACAGCUUCUCAAAGACCGUCAAAUCCUCCGACGCCGGGGGACUUAUUUCUGUGCUGUGGCCGCAUGUGGAGAGAUAUUGUUUAGAAAUAGGACAAAGAUUGACUUCAAAGGAGCCGACAGUCGGACGGCCGUAAUAGCUCUGUCUCUGUUAUCAGCUGCUUUGGCUAUAAGCUUUAUUAUUAUAGCUUUCCUGAUUCAUAUCAUCAAGACUAAAUCGUGUGAGUCCAGCAAAGCUGCUGAAGAUCUGCAAACACAUCCUGCAGCAGAUCGACGACGCCAGCAGGUGAGAUACUUCAGAAAAGAUUCAACGAGAAUCAUUUGUUGGAAUAUUGUUUUGCUUUUUAUAAGUUUAUAGAAAUAUCUGCAGGC